GCGCGAAACCUUCGCACUGCGCGAAAGCGCGACGAGGGGAGCCCGAGUGCCUCUCCAUUUCGGGGAGGCUUUUCACAAGCCUAAAAAGCUUGUGGAAUAAGGGCUGGGCAAGACGGGUGCCAGCCGCCGCGGUAAUACCCGCAGCUCGAGUGGUGGUCGCUUUUAUUGAGCCUAAAACGUUCGUCGUCGGCCUUGUAAAUCCCUGGGUAAAUCGGACCGCUUUACGGUUCGAAUUUCGGGGAGACUGCA
rnacentral:rRNA from 1 species